rnacentral:miRNA from 1 species
GCUUGGUUUUCGUUCUGUUAUGCAUUUACAGCUGUGCAUUCAUAUGUGUGUGUGUAUAUAUAUAUUUUAUAUAUAUAUAUAUAUAUAUAUAUAUAUAUAUAUAUAUAUAUAUAUAUAUAUAAAUAUAUAAAUGCACAGCUGUAAAUGCAUAACAAAACGAAAACCAAGC